GAUGAACGCUGGCGGCGUGCUUAACACAUGCAAGUCGAACGAAGCACUUUAUUUGAUUUCCUUCGGGACUGAUUAUUUUGUGACUGAGUGGCGGACGGGUGAGUAACGCGUGGGUAACCUGCCUUGUACAGGGGGAUAACAGUUGGAAACGGCUGCUAAUACCGCAUAAGCGCACGGCAUCGCAUGAUGCAGUGUGAAAAACUCCGGUGGUAUAAGAUGGACCCGCGUUGGAUUAGCUAGUUGGUGAGGUAACGGCCCACCAAGGCGACGAUCCAUAGCCGACCUGAGAGGGUGACCGGCGACAUUGGUACUGGGACACGGCCCAAACUCCUACGGGAGGCAGCAGUGGGGAAUAUUGCACAAUGGGCGAAAGCCUGAUGCAGCGACGCCGCGUGAGCGAAGAAGUAUUUCGGUAUGUAAAGCUCUAUCAGCAGGGAAGAUAAUGACGGUACCUGACGAAGAAGCACCGGCUAAAUACGUG
rnacentral:rRNA from 1 species